AGAGUUUGAUCAUGGCUCAGAAUGAACGUUGGCGGCGUGGAUUAGGCAUGCAAGUCGAGCGCGAACCCCGCAAGGGGGGAGAGCGGCAAACGGGGUAGUAACGGGUAGGUGACGUACCCUCGGGUUGGGGAUAGCCACGGGAAACUGUGGGUAAUACCCAAUAAUCUCUUUACACGUGAUGGUGUGGAGAGCAAAGGUGUGAUUCCACCGGAGGAGCGGCCUGCCUCGUAUUAGCUAGUUGGUGAGGUAACGGCUCACCAAGGCAUCGAUGCGUAGGGGGUGUGAGAGCAUGACCCCCACCACUGGGACUGAGAUACUGCCCAGACACCUACGGGUGGCUGCAGUCGAGAAUCUUCGGCAAUGGGCGCAAGCCUGACCGAGCGACGCCGCGUGUGGGAUGAAGGCCCUUGGGUUGUAAACCACUGUCAGAGGGGAUGAAGUGCCAGCCAGCAAUCUGGUUGGUUUGACAUAGCCUCAGAGGAAGCACGGGCUAAGUUCGUGCCAGCCGCCGCGGUAAUAC
rnacentral:rRNA from 1 species